UACGGGGGGGGUAAGCGUUGUUCGGAAUUACUGGGCGUAAAGGGCUCGUAGGCGGCCAACUAAGUCAGACGUGAAAUCCCUCAGCUUAACUGGGGAACUGCGUCUGAUACUGGAUGGCUUGGAUCCGGGAGAGGGAUGCGGAAUUCCAGGUGUAGCGGUGAAAUGCGUAGAUAUCUGGAGGAACACCGGCGGCGAAGGCGGCAUCCUGGACCGGUAUUGACGCUGAGGAGCGAAAGCCAGGGGAGCAAACGGG
rnacentral:rRNA from 1 species